rnacentral:rRNA from 1 species
GCACUACAACGGGUGGAGCCUGCGGUUCAAUUGGAUUCAACGCCGGAAAACUCACCGGGGGCGACAGCGGGAUGAAGGUCAGGCUGAAGACCUUACCCGACUAGCUGAGAGGUGGUGCAUGGCCAUCGUCAGCUCGUACCGUGAGGCGUCCUGUUAAGUCAGGCAACGAGCGAGAUCCUCGCCCUUAGUUGCCAUCGGUGGAAAGCCGGGCACUCUAGGGGGACCGCUGGCGCUAAGUCAGAGGAAGGAGAGGGCGACGGUAGGUCAGUAUGCCCCGAAUCCCCUGGGCUACACGCGGGUCACAAUGCGCAGGACAAUGAGAUGCAGCCCCGUAAGGGGAAGCCAAACCCAUAAACCUGCGCUCGGUUCGGAUCGAGGGCUGUAACUCGCCCUCGUGAAGCUGGAAUCUCUAGUAAUCGCGUGUCAUUAACGCGCGGUGAAUACGUCCCUGCUCCUUGCACACACAGCCCGUCGUUCCACUCGAGUGGGUUUUGGGUGAGG